GCAGAGCGGCUCCGGGUUCGCGCGGAGGCCUGGGGCGCGCGGGCGCGGGGCGGCGGGCGCGCGCACCUCUCUCCGCCCCUACCUGGCCGUGACGCCAGCACAAUGGCGGCUUCCGUACCCCCGCCGCGGCCCGUCACCCACCUGCUCUUUGACAUGGACGGCCUCCUUCUUGAUACCGAACGGCUGUAUUCGGUGGUGUUCCAAGAAAUAUGUGAUCGCUACGGAAAGAAAUACAGUUGGGACGUCAAGUCCCUUGUUAUGGGAAAGAAGGCAUCAGAGGCGGCACAGAUCAUAAUAGACGUCCUGCAGCUCCCGAUGACCAAAGAGGAGCUGCUGGAGGAAAGCCAGACGAAGUUGAAAGAGGUGUUCUCCACGGCCGCCCUGAUGCCAGGGGUGGAGAGACUGAUUCGCCAUCUGCGCCAGCACGGCGUGCCCCUGGCCGUGGCCACCAGCUCCAGCCGCGCAUCGUUUGACAUGAAGACCGGCAGACACCAGGCGUUCUUCGGCUUGUUUGACCACAUCGUGUUGGGGGAUGACCCCGAAGUGAACAACGGGAAGCCACAUCCCGACAUAUUUCUAGUCUGUGCCAAGAGGUUUUCCCCUGCUCCGCCCACCCACCAGAAAGAACUUUGCAUGGUGUUGCCCCCUGAAGAUGGAAUUCAGCAUCAGAACCAGCUUGGUCUCCCUCAAAGAAACCAUUGACGUGCAAAAGACCUCUAGGAUGUAGCAUUUCAUCAUAUACUAGGGCUGCAGUGCACUCUGCAGAAUUGGACUUGAAAAAUGAAGAAGGUAGAUGGAGGUUAUAGUAAAUUUCUGUCGCACUAAAAGUUUCCUGAUCCCACGGCCGUGGGGUUUGUUGGAAUGUUGCGUGUCCUUGAAGCACUGGUCACCAGGCUUGUGGGGCUGGAACACAUGGAGAACUCAUUUUGCUACGACAGGAGGUUGCCAGGCCCUGGAACCCAAACAGGCGUCCAGAAGUACUUUGACAUCUUUCUCCCACAUCCAUGGUCACCAUAUUGCAAAAUGGUGGUCCCACAUUCAUAUUCUCCUCCUGGAUCCCAUGAUGUUUUCAUCAUGCUGACGUUCUUUGCCAUGCUGCAGCUUUUCAUGGCCUGGGACGAUUGAGGGCCUCAGCAUUGUAGCAUCAGUUAGUAGAGACUCUUUCUCCCUGCCUUUGGUUUAUCAAAUGACUGACUCAGGAGCAGCGGCACAUGGACCCCCAAGCAAAGGUCUCAGGUGGCAAUCCCUGGAAUGUUCUUGUUUCGAUGGUCCUGAGAGUUUGCAAUUAGGUUUAUAUACCUUGCCUUAAUGACUGAAGUGUCCAAAAUCAUAAAUUCAAACCGUAAUGGAAGAAAAUAAUAAUUUAUCUCAUGACUGCAGUAAACAUAGUCCGAUGUCUCAGAUUUAUCCCACUGAUUAUUCUUUAAACCAGAAAAGAUAUGUAUCAACAUAGAAAUGGUCUUUUUUAUGGGGAGCCAAUUCCAUGACUGUAUGUACCAUUGAUUCUUGGUCACUGAUGCCACUUUCCUAUUCGUGGGACAAGGAUGUUUUCCACAAAGCUCUCCCCUAUAAGCUAAUGGCAGCUGAUGCCUGAGCAUCUGCAUCUGGAAGUCUUGAUAUGAAAGUUUCUACCCCUCUUAGAUGAGAGGUGGCCUGUGGUCCCCACAAUGGGAUCCAAUUCUUUCUGCCCAUUCAUGGAGUGACUUGGAGAACAGAAAGCUGGUUUGCUGAAGGACCACUCAGUAGAGAGCUGACUGUAAAGCUGAUGCCCAGAGGGACCCUGCAAGAUGUGGGCUGAAGACAACAGAAGCAUGACAGCUUGGAUCCCCAAAUGACUGUGUGGACCAGAGACUUCCACUGCCCCAUGGCACAAGCCCUACACUGUGCAUGAGAGUGACCACGUCUGAGCCACCACGUUAGGUCCAUUUGUAACUGCAGCUUACCUACUCUAAAGCACCACCUCUGAAACACCCUCACAGACACACCAAAAGUAAUGUUUUACCAGCUAUCUGGACAUCCCUCAGACUGGUCAAGUUGACACAUAGAAUUAAACAUCAUAUGAGCAUCUAAGAGAAGCAAUACAUGGUUUCUAAGUAGCCACUUAAAGGAGAUCAGCACCCUUUGGUUUUGUGGAGCAUGGAGUUUGAUAGCACAUAUAGGUUUAAUGCCAUAUGGCCUUCCUUCAUUGAGGAAGAUGAAGGUCAUCAAAGGAGGAGAGAGAUAUAUGGAGGGAGAAUAGGAGAUGGGAAUCUUUAAAAGGCAUGCAAGGUCACAAAGAUCUGGAAGAUUAUAAGCUGUGAAAUGUAUGAAGUCUAUCCCUGUUCAUCUCACUUAUGAAAUCUUCGAUGAAAUCUGCAAAACAGAUUCAUAAAAACUCUGUGUGGCUGGAUUUCCCGUGGACAUUGGUGAAUGAGACAAAUUCUGCAUGCCAUUUGUGUUGGAUGACUCAAAUAAGGGGCUCCGUUCUAGGUUGUUGAUACAGUGCAGUGAUCUAGAAUGAAUGGUCCUUGGUUUUACAUUCCUGUUCCAUCGUGGUGUCGUAGGUUGACUUAACAUGUCACAGUUUUUUACUUCCAUGCAAUGAAGAGGGUUGGCGUAGGAAACACCAAUAGUACCUGCCUCUGUCACUACCACAAAGUUGUCUAGAGUGUCUGUGUUCUUAAAUCGUGUUUUUGUCUUGCCUGCUAGCAGGGCAUGAUGCCAUCUAGUUGGUUCAAUUUCCAUGGAAGUAUACGGUAUGCUCCGGUAACAGACCUACUAGAUUCCAACACCCUGCAAGAUCUCUUUCUUUACUGUUUGAUCCAUUUCAGGGACAUUUCAUUCUGUUGUAAUUAUCCAGUCUACACCCUUGGAUAAAAAAUGCGUAUACCCAGAAACAUUGCAAAAGUUGGCCAUAAUGGCAUGCAAAUUACGGAAAAUUCUCAUACGCAAGAAAAUGUUAUUGUUUCCUCUAGUGCUGUCAAAAACCUUUGCAUUCAAGCACAGUUCGGGCAGCCUUGGUUCACCUGGGAGCUUGUAGAAAAUGUAGUAUCUCAGGUCCCUUCCCACCAAGACCUAUGGAAUCAGAAUCUAUAAUUUUAACAAGACCCCUAGUGGAUUUGUGUGCACAUUAAUGUUUCAGAAGCUCUGCUCCAAAAUAUACCAUGUGAAAUCUCAGCUGACCCCGCCAGUGAAGGGAGAAGAGAGCAAAGGAGACCAUAGUUGGUACUUGAGAGUCUGACCCUGGGGUUGAAAAAGCAGAUUUCCUAACUCCUGCCCUCUUUGUUUUCUGAAAGCCUCAGAGGAGUUUCACCCUAAGACCAAGAUGUCAGUUUAACAUAAGAACCCUUAUUCAAACACUGAUUGAGAAAGGCAAUCCUUUCCUCCCCUUUUCUAAAGCUUGCAAAUAGCUGUCAGAACCAAAGGAUCAUUUUUUUUAGGUGAUUUCUCUCCUGAAUACAAAAAUAGUCCUUUUGUGUGCUAGGAGAAAGGACUUUGCUCUCUCUGGGACCUCUUCGUUUGUUUUAUUUACAGUCUCCAAUCAUGGUGGUAUGGAGGGCAAGGAAUCAUGUGUGAUAUUCAGUUUUCCUCCUUUUCCUUUUAAAAGACUGGAUGUGAAAGCUUAUAUUGCUGGGAAGCCCAGAAGAGGAUACUGUGGGAAGAGGCUCAUUCUGUGUAAAGGACGAAUAGAAUUGCCCACAUCUCAGCAUUUCUCUGUAACUUCAACCAUGUUCAAAUUAAGAACAGUAGGGUCCACAAUAUUCACCAUGGUUACAUUCAAUUAAAAUGACCUAAUAUUUUUAAAAGCCCAUUUUAUGUAGUUACUACUUGGAUUGAUAGCUUCAGUGAUAAAAUGUGAUGACAAUCCAUGUAUGUGUCAGUCCCCAUCUGUAGCCACUCCACCCUUAAAUGUGCCAUCUGUGUUUGCUGACUUUAGACCAAGACUCUACAUGCAAUUCUUAAUGUCCCUCCUAUUUGUCAGAGUAUCAAAUUAGCACAUGUUCAUUCUAAAGCUACAAAGUAUCUAUAAGCAUAAGGAAUGCAAUGAAGAUCGACAACUACCCUACCCCAGGAAUGACCAAUGUUUACAUUUUAUAGUAUAGCCUUCCAUAUUCCCUUCAUUAUAGCAAGACCUGGAGAAUGUUCUUCCACAACAUGGGAUCCUUAAAUAAAACCACUUUGUGAAUUAAAAACA